rnacentral:tmRNA from 1 species
GGGGCUGACCUGGUUUUGACAGCAAGCCGAGGUGGUGUGUAAGCAUGCAGAGCGUUGUUGCGUAGCUCUUGCCGUAAGGCGUCCUUUUUGGGCAAAAACAUGUGGCAACAUUUAUAAUUGGCGAAAAUAAAUUUGCUCUUGCAGCAUAAUCGAAGUUUAGUAGAUUUUGCUUUAUCCCGGUUGUAGCAACCAGGACAAGACGUUUCGCGGGCGGUUCCACUCCAUACCAACCCGAUCACGAGGCGCAGGCAAUUUGGAGUUAGUCUGUAAGAGGCUCCGGUUUACAGAUGAAAUAAAGGGACUAAGGAAAUAUUAGGCUGUUUCGCACCUGAUAUCUCCCAACAAUCAAGAGAAACUAAGCAUGUAGAAAGCAUAUGGUCUCCUUGUUUGGACCCGGGUUCGACUCCCGGCAGCUCCACGA